rnacentral:rRNA from 1 species
GAUGAACGCUGGCGGCGUGCUUAACACAUGCAAGUCGAACGAUGAUGGGAGCUUGCUCCUGGAUUAGUGGCGAACGGGUGAGUAACACGUGAGUAACCUGCCCUUAACUCUGGGAUAAGCCUGGGAAACUGGGUCUAAUACCGGAUAUGACUCCUCAUCGCAUGGUGGGGGGUGGAAAGCUUUUUGUGGUUUUGGAUGGACUCGCGGCCUAUCAGCUUGUUGGUGAGGUAAUGGCUUACCAAGGCGACGACGGGUAGCCGGCCUGAGAGGGUGACCGGCCACACUGGGACUGAGACACGGCCCAGACUCCUACGGGAGGCAGCAGUGGGGAAUAUUGCACAAUGGGCGCAAGCCUGAUGCAGCGACGCCGCGUGAGGGAUGACGGCCUUCGGGUUGUAAACCUCUUUCAGUAGGGAAGAAGCGAAAGUGACGGUACCUGCAGAAGAAGCGCCGGCUAACUACGUGCCAGCAGCCGCGGUAAUACGUAGGGCGCAAGCGUUAUCCGGAAUUAUUGGGCGUAAAGAGCUCGUAGGCGGUUUGUCGCGUCUGCCGUGAAAGUCCGGGGCUCAACUCCGGAUCUGCGGUGGGUACGGGCAGACUAGAGUGAUGUAGGGGAGACUGGA